rnacentral:rRNA from 1 species
UGGGGAAUAUUGCGCAAUGGGGGGAACCCUGACGCAGCAACGCCGCGUGAAGGAAGAAGGCCUUCGGGUUGUAAACUUUUUUGAUCGGGGACGAAGGAUGACGGUACCCGAAAAACAAGUCACGGCUAACUACGUGCCAGCAGCCGCGGUAAUACGUAGGUGGCAAGCGUUGUCCGGAUUUACUGGGUGUAAAGGGCGUGUAGGCGGGUUUGCAAGUCAGAUGUGAAAUACCGGGGCUUAACUCCGGAACUGCAACUGAAACUGUAGAUCUUGAGUACUGGAGAGGAAAGUGGAAUUCCUAGUGUAGCGGUGAAAUGCAUAGAGAUUAGGAGGAACACCAGUGGCGAAGGCGGCUUUCUGGACAGUAACUGACGCUGAGGCGCGAAAGCGUGGGGAGCAAACA